rnacentral:rRNA from 1 species
CACGUAGUUAGUCGGGGCUUCUUAGUCAGGUACCGUCAUUUUCUUCCCUGCUGAUAGAAGUUUACAUACCGAAAUACUUCAUCCUUCACGCGGCGUCGCUGCAUCAGGGUUUCCCCCAUUGUGCAAUAUUCCCCACUGCUGCCUCCCGUAGGAGUUUGGGCCGUGUCUCAGUCCCAAUGUGGCCGGUCACCCUCUCAGGUCGGCUACUGAUCGUCGCCUUGGUGAGCCUUUACCUCACCAACCAGCUAAUCAGACGCGGGUCCAUCCCAUACCACCGGAGUUUUUACCCCUGCACCAUGCGGCGCUGUGGUCUUAUGCGGUAUUAGCAGACAUUUCUAUCUGUUAUCCCCCUGUAUGGGGCAGGUUACCCACGCGUUACUCACCCGUCCGCCACUCAGUCACAGUACUAAUCAACCCGAAGGAAUCAAAGUAAGUGCUUCGUUCGACUUGCAUGUGUUAAGCACGCCGCCAGCGUUCAUCCUGAGCCAGGAUCAAACUCU